UCUCUCUCUUCUUCCUCCCGUUUUCUUCCUCGAUCUUCUUCGAUCUUCUUCCUCUACGAACACCUUCGAUCUUCUUCCUCAAAUCCUUUUCGAUCUUCUUCGAAAUUCUUCAUCCUCUCAAACGGACUCUUUGGUUCUCUCUCCUCUAAGAAAAGGAAAGAAUCAUGUAUUUCUCUCUCCUCAUCUCAAACCGUUCGCCGUCUCCUCAUCUCAAACCCUAGAAUCCAUACUAGCUCUAAAGAACCAUCAAUUUCGAAGAUUUGGUUUCUUCAUCUUCUUCGUGGCCCAUGCUCUAAAACUUUCUGAUUUGCGAGAUGUGGUCGGCAAAUCUUCCGGUUGUUCGACGCCUCUGCUGCCAUUACGUCUACAUCCACCGCCGAUUCAGUGGUGAUUUUGAAAGCAUUUCGAUGUGAAGCAACUUUUGGAGUCAGAUUUGAGACUAAUUUCACUCUUCUGAUCUCGAAUAAUUCGUCAAAGGUGUUUCAUUCGACCAAUCAGAUAAAGAUCUUUUCUGCUUGGUGAAGUGGCGAAUAUGUCGGCGAAAUUGAAGCAGUGUAAGCUUGAUGCUCGCCGUGAACAAUGGCUUUCGCAAGAGAAGUAGGGGAGUUUCUUAGUGGUGCUUUGGCUGGGGCUAUGUCGAAAGGCGGUUUUGGCACCUCUUGAAACCAUCAGGUACUAGGAAACUGCAAUCUCCAUCUAUGAUGAGUAUGGAAAAACAAAUAAGAUGUGGUCAUCAAUAACCGCUGCUCAAGGAAGUUGUGUCAUAUAAAUGUAGAGCAAGCUAAUCACAAGGGUCUAACCCUGACUUUGAUUAAGGCUGGGUGCCAUGGUCCUCUUAAAGAGGGAGCCUCAUAUCUCUAGAACAAAUGAAAUAGACUCUGGCUGGUAACCUAAUAUCCACUGCAUCACCAAUCUUGAAGAAAG